rnacentral:rRNA from 1 species
GACGUAGGGGGCGAGCGUUGUCCGGAUUUAUUGGGCGUAAAGAGCGUGUAGGCGGCCAGAUAGGUCCGUUGUGAAAACUGGAGGCUUAACCUCCAGCUGUCGAUGGAAACCAUCUGGCUAGAGUCCGGAAGAGGAGAGUGGAAUUCCUGGUGUAGCGGUGAAAUGCGCAGAUAUCAGGAAGAACACCCGUGGCGAAGGCGGCUCUCUGGGACGGUACUGACGCUGAGACGCGAAAGCGUGGGGAGCGAACAGG